rnacentral:rRNA from 1 species
GUAGGUGGCAAGCGUUGUCCGGAAUUAUUGGGCGUAGGGCGCGCGCAGGCGGUCCUUUAAGUCUGAUGUGAAAGCCCACGGCUCAACCGUGGAGGGUCAUUGGAAACUGGGGGACUUGAGUACAGAAGAGGAAAGCGGAAUUCCAAGUGUAGCGGUGAAAUGCGUAGAGAUUUGGAGGAACACCAGUGGCGAAGGCGGCUUUCUGGUCUGUAACUGACGCUGAGGCGCGAAAGCGUGGGGAGCAAACAGGAUUAGAUACCCUGGUAGUCCACGCCGUAAACGAUGAGUGCUAAGUGUUAGGGGGUUUCCCGCCCCCCUUAGUGCUGCAGCUAACGCAUUAAGCACUCCGCCUGGGGAGUACGGCCGCAAGGCUG